rnacentral:rRNA from 1 species
UACGAAGGGUGCAAACGUUGCUCGGAAUUAUUGGGCGUAAAGCGCACGUAGGCGGCUUUGCAAGUCCCAUGUGAAAGCCCACGGCUUAACCGUGGAAGUGCAUGGGAAACUGCAGAGCUUGAGUACUUAAGAGGAUCGCGGAAUUCCCGGUGUAGAGGUGAAAUUCGUAGAUAUCGGGGGGAACACCAGUGGCGAAGGCGGCGAUCUGGGAAGAUACUGACGCUGAGGUGCGAAAGCGUGGGGAGCAAACAGG